rnacentral:rRNA from 1 species
UGGGGAAUCUUGCGCAAUGGGCGAAAGCCUGACGCAGCGACGCCGCGUGGGGGAUGACGGCCUUCGGGUUGUAAACCUCUUUCAGCAGGGACGAAGUUGACGUGUACCUGCAGAAGAAGCGCCGGCUAACUACGUGCCAGCAGCCGCGGUAAUACGUAGGGCGCAAGCGUUGUCCGGAAUCAUUGGGCGUAAAGAGCUCGUAGGUGGCCGGUCGCGUCUGCCGUGAAAGCCCGCAGCUUAACUGCGGGUCUGCGGUGGAUACGGGCCGGCUAGAGGUAGGCAGGGGCAAGUGGAAUUCCUGGUGUAGCGGUGAAAUGCGCAGAUAUCAGGAGGAACACCGGUGGCGAAGGCGGCUUGCUGGGCCUUACCUGACGCUGAGGAGCGAAAGCGUGGGGAGCGAACA